UCUUGAAGUUUUAUCGGGCAGGCUUACAAG
rnacentral:piRNA from 1 species